CAAUAUUUAUUGAACGUUUAUUAUGCAAUAUUAACAUAUUGAGGGUUUUCGAUAUUUGCCGGAAUUACAUGUGCAGAAUUCUGCGUGUAGAAAAAAAAUUUGUACUGAUUUGACAGUUCAAAUUCUGCACCUCAAUGCAGAUCUGCACGGCAUGUGAAAUUUGAAUUUCUCUGCGCAGAGGCAGUGCUGACAACAUUCAAAUAAUUAAUUUUUGAGCAAAGUCCGGCAACAUUUUAAAUUGCGCUCAGCUGUUCAGUGAAAAUAAACAAAAGAUAUAAAAAAAUGGAAGAAAAAUUGGUUGAAUUUGUUAGCGAAAACCGUUUCCUAUAUGACAAAAGUCAUAGGAAUUAUAAAAAUAGCCACCUGAGGGACGCCAAAUUUCAGGAGCUAUCGGAGAAAUUGAAUAUUCCAGGUGAGAAGCUAAAGGCCCGUUGGCGGACCCUACGAGAUAAAUUUUACAAGGACUUAAAAAAGAGACCAUCAGGAAGCGGCGUGUAUUCGCCACACAAAAAGUGGAAGUAGAUGGAGAGCCUAAAGUUUUUAAAGGACGUUGAAAUGGACAACUUGAACACACAAGGCAAUUAUGGCACCGUAACGACAGAAGGUGACGACUCCUUCCUCAGCGACUUUGGUGAAUCCGCCUGUAGCAGUGUCAAUUUAAAUAUAUUUUCUCAAUCACCGCAGACACAGACGCAGACACAGACACAGACUGGACGGAAACGAGGAAUUUGAGGAAUUACUUGAAAGCUCGAAUAGAGACUUUCAAAGAGUGACGUCGUUAGCCGAGGAAAUAUUGGUCGGUGGCACGGAGUGAUCCGCAACUCAAUUAUUUUUUGAAAGCCUUGCCAAGCAGGCGGAGGGAGCUAAUUUAAAUAGUCUGGAAAUGUCGGAGUUACAACUCCAAAUUUCUCAAACUUUCCACCAAUUUUUUGUGAAUCGUAGAAAAUAAGUUUUUCAUUAACAUCUUUUAUAAUAUUUAUCAUUUUAAAGAAAAGCCCAUUCAUUUCAAAUAUAUAAAAAAGUACAAAGGUA